UGACUGGCAGGGUGGAGAAAACAGGAGGAUGGAUAAAGCUUCACAGAAAGACUUCAGAGGAAAUUUGACUCCUUUGAAACCACAGGUGUGAAGUUCUCUGUCCUAAAUCACAGGAGAUUUCCCACAACCUUUGAGUUGAAUUUGGAGCCAGUUCUUCGGUGGCGGUGGCUGCAGGGGAAAGGCCUGGUGGGAUUCGGUGCAGCAUGGGACUAGGUGAGUUACUU
rnacentral:lncRNA from 1 species